UACAUCGUGGACGGGUCGUCUUUAUCGGCACAGCGACAACAGCGGCGCCUUCCGCACACGCGUGCACAUAUCCACACUCUGACCUCCGUCUUUUUUUUCCCGUGCCGCUUACACUGCAUGUGUGCAUAUCUGCGCGUACACAGUUAGCGCGCUUCUCCAUUGACAUAAUCGAGCUCGUAUCGUUGACGUUCUUCUCAGACUUCUAAACCUUUUUUUUGUUGGUCGCUGCUGUCCCUUUGGUGCACAUGCAGCCACACCGCUCCCUCUGCUUCUAUCCACACCUAAGCAUCUAUCGAAGAGCCGCUGAAGGCGCCACAGAACCAAAACGUGAAAAUGCUCCAUCUUUUCUCAUCCGAGGUGGCGGCAUUGGCUUCGAUGGUGCUGUGUGGACUUGUGUAUGGCGCCUUCUACUUUUUGAACAUUACCUGGGCUCGCAAUCCGAAUGUAGCCGACGUGCUCGUGUUCAUCUGUAGCUGUAUCUUCGCAUGUCGAACGGCUGCCAAGGGUAAGGUGUGCCAGUGGCCCUCCGGUGUGGACUAUACGGGCCGCGUAGCGCUCGUCGUUGGGGCCACCUCCGGCGUCGGCUACAGCACGGCAAUGCAGCUCGCAGAGCACGGAUGGACCGUUGUGCUCGCAGCACGCAACACCGAUCGGCUCCUUUUUUCCAAAAAGACUAUAGAGCGUCACUUGCAGAAGUGCAACGCGAAGGGUUCGGUGAAGGUGCUCGGCACCGUUGACCUGCGCUCGGAUGCGUCUAUCCGCGCCUAUGUGAAGGAGCUGGCGGCAAUGAAGGCGCACCUGCCGGUAGGCCUCCUCAUCAUGGCGGCUGGCGCGCUGCAUCGACAUCUGCACUUUGUUGGUGAAGUGGAGGAGUUGAAGACAGGCAGUGCAUCUGUUGCGGCAUCGUCCAGGGCGUGGCGGUCGAUGGAGUGCAUGAUCGCCGCGAAUGCAGUGGGCCCGUAUUUAUUCACCCAGCUGAUGCUCCCUUUGUUGGAUGAGACGGCAGAGAAGACGUCGGUCACGUCGCGCAUCGUGAACGUGGCGUCGAGCUGCCACACCUUCCUGGGCCCUGGCCGUCAAGCUCGCUACAACCCGCUCGAGAUGAUCCGCGGACUCGAUGAGCGGGCCGCCGAAGUGCUUCCCGGAGGCGGCUGUGGUGAGGCGAAAGAGGGCAAAGCUGCACGCGGCCCGUACUACAUUCGCGACUACAGCUGGGCCAAUUUUGUUGGUUACUAUGGCCUUUCCAAGCUCUGUGUAAUGUGGAACACGCGACUCCUGGCCCGGCAGGUCGCGACGAUGCGCUUCAUCCCAAAGACUGCGGCGAAGACGCCUGCGCUGCGCAAACCCGCAGCGAAGUGCACCACCGCAGACUCUACCCAGAGCGUCACUGCAACCCCAGAGACAGACCGACAGGACCAACUCAAGAUUUUCGUCGCCUGCACUCACCCCGGCAUCAUCACCACCUACCUAUACCGUGACAUUUUCGCGCCGUGGGUGCUCGACUACUUCUUCUACUACCCUUCCCUGGUCUUCGGCAAGACAUGGAUCGAGUCUGCGCAGUCGACUCUCAAGGCAGCGGUGGAGGACACGGGUAUGGUACAGGGAGGCUACUACCUCUGCAGCGGGGAGUACGGCCCGGAGAGUGGUGUCAACUGCGUCUCGGCACACGCGCAGCGUCCGAAAAACAUAGAGGAAUAUCAAAGGUGGAUGAUGGCACGAGUCACGCCGGCGCUGAAGGCGGAGAAUGAGAUGACCGCGAAGAAGCAAGACGAAGCGGCCCCGCAAUGAGCCGCACAACCUCCCUCCCCCCAUACAAUCUGUGAGGAGGCAGCAGCGAUGUUUGACAACUCUUCUCUGCUGAACCUUGCUCCUACUCUCGUCGUGUUAAAGUUUGCGGGAUGAGAUGGACGUGGCAACACAUAUCGAUCGAGGGAGAGCGAAGGCGCUUCUGGGGCAGCUGCUGGGUUCUGUGAGUUUUGAUUGCCAUUGUGACGAGUGAAAGAAUGCGGCGCUGAGUCCAAGGACGAAGGCGAAAAAACAUUGAGGAGGGAAUGAUGGGCGAGAAGAGACGAAGCCAACGUGUGCACGCGUUUGUGCGCGUGUGCUUGCACUCGCAUAGAUAGAGACGUGCUGGCGCCUCGCCCAACGCCUCUUAUCAUAGGUUGCCGAGUCGCGUGCUCGUCGUCCAUCAAGGCACCAACUUCUGCUGUCAACGGAGUAGGAGGAGGGCAACAGCUCCGAUUCGUGAAACGCGCUGCUGCUGAGAGCGACGACCCAUUCAUCUGGCUUGCCGAUGCUCCAAGAAAAUAAACGAAUGACCACCGCCUGAAACUGAGGGUGAAGCAUUAAAAGAAGGCAUGCGGCCCACCCGCACCCCAUCUCUACUGGCUGGCAAUGAGCGAUACGGGUCACCGCUGUCGCAGCCCAGCAGUGCCAUAUGCGUGUGUGUGUGUAUGUGAGCUGCACUCUGUUGCGGUGCUUCUCCGCCCACCUCGUUGCCUGAUAAUGUAUGGUGCCUCCCUCCUUUUGCGAUGGAAGAGAGGGGGAGCUGUCCGGUGCAAUGUGUGGCUGCCAACUGGCCAAUUCGCGUUCUCCUGCAGGCAUGCAUAUGCGUGCGACUCUUCUCGUGGAUAUCACUGAUCCUUGACAUAAAGCAACACAAGCACUCCCGAUACAGAUGCCGCCGUCCUUUUCUGCACUUACGAGAUACCCUCUCUCUUUUUUUUCUUUGGGUCGCCGCUGCUAUCCGUCAUCAUUGUGUGUCUCUACGCGCUUGUGGCUCCACCCACAUUACCCAUCGUGUGCGUGAUCUCUUUCGAAACUUCCACCCUUGCGCGCGAGAGCAG
rnacentral:misc_RNA from 1 species